AUGCUGCUAUCUCAAGCAUCUGAUUAUUUGGGCCUCAAUGGGGUAACCGAGUCCCUAAUCGUUAGAACUGUACGUCAAGACACUCUCGCACUUGAAGGCUCUUCUGUAACCUUUGAAAUAUCUUCCAUGGUCUUCCCAGAUCCUUCCAGUUUCAAAUCACUGUCAGAGUUACAGUCCGCAACAAAUCAGUUACUGCUACAACAUAGGGAGGACUCCUGUGAUGCCUCUUCAGUCCAAACCCUUCUUUUGAGAGAAGCCCAGCAACAAAGUUUUCCCUCUGAGUAUCAGUGUUUAAAGGAAGGAAAGCCCAUUGAACCUCAAAGUUGUCUCCUCACACUUUCUCCUGAAUUCAAUGAAGAAACAGGACUUAUUGUAGUGGGAGGUAAGCUCAGGCGUGUAGAGGAUAUGGAACCUGGAAUGGUUCAUCCAAUUGUACUCGACCCUAAACAUCCAUUAUCCCAUUUAAUUAUCAAGGACUGUGAUGAGAAACUUUUCCAUCCUGGUCCAGAGAGAGUUUUCUCAGAACUUCGGCGCAAUUACUGGAUAAUUAGAGGGAGACAAGCCGUAAAAAAACAUCAGUGGUCUUGUUUACAAUGUAGAAAGUGGAGAGCUAAGCCAUCUAUCCCUCAAAUGUCAGAUCUGCCAAGCUCCAAGCUCCGGUUGUUUAAACCUCCCUUUUGGUCCACCGGAAUGGACUGUUUUGGUCCCUUUCAUGUCACUAUUGGCCGUAGAACGGAGAAGAGAUGGGGCAUUCUGUUUAAAUGCCAGACCACUCGAUGUCUGCAUCUUGAUUUGUUGAGCAGUUUAAAUGUGGACAGCUUUCUAAUGGCCCUACGCCGCUUCAUAUCUAGGAGAGGAAGGCCUUAUGAGAUUCUUUGUGAUCAAGGAAGUAAUUUCCGUGGAGCUGCAAGAGAAUUAAAGGAAGCUUUCCAAAACCUUACCACUGAGUUGCAAGUCAAGUUGGAAAGUCAGCAGAUUAAAUUCAAGUUUAAUCCACCACAAGCUCCUCAUUUUGGGGGGUCAUGGGAAAGAGAGGUCCGUUCAGUUAAAACAGCUCUGCGGGUGGUACUUGGCAGUCAAACAGUAUCAGCAGAAGUCCUACAAACAGUUUUGACUGAAGUUGAAGGAGUGUUAAAUUCGAAGCCACUUGGUUACGCCUCUUCAAACAUUUCAGAUCUCGACCCCAUCACUCCAAAUCUCCUCCUCAUGGGGCGGCGAGACUCUUCUCUACCUCAGGUGAUUUAUGCCAACACUAAGCUCUUUGGCCGCCGAUCUUGGCGCCAUAGCCAGGUCCUCGUGGACCAGUUCUGGACAUCCUUUAUCCGAUAUUAUCUACCAGGUCAGCAGCUCCGUCAAAAAUGGAACCGAGAACAACCUAAUCUAAAUGACUCUGCUGUCGUGUUAGUUAUUGAUUCUCAACUCCCAAGAGCAUCAUGGCCCAUUGGUAGGGUAGUACGUCUCUUACCUAGUCAGGAUGGGCGCGUUAGAGUAGCUGAGAUUGUUAUCAAUGGAAAGACAUAUGUACGUCCAGUUGCUAAGUUGAUUCCAUUACCUAAAAUAGAUGAGUGA
rnacentral:lncRNA from 1 species